GUCUUCGUUUAAAAUUACUUCUUAUGACUGAUCACGUUCGAACAUGUCUACAAGAAAACGCGCCAUGAAGCCAUACAAUUGACACUUGCGAGACUUUUAUCGAUUAUCGAAAAAAUCGAGUAUUGCACAUGGCUUCCCUCGGUGUUAAAAUCCUACUUGUUCAUUCUCUUUUCUGUAUUCAUUUAUUUAUUUUAUAUAUAUUUUUUUGUGUAUUGUGAAAAAAAAUAUAAUUGUGACGAAAAUUUGUGAUGAGAAUUUGUGAUGAAGAAUUAAUAGUUCGCAAGUUAAAAAGUGUAACUUUGAAUUCAAUGCAAUUAACGCUGUCGCUUCGAGAACGCCGAAUCGGUUCCGCGACCCCGAGGAUCGAAUCCAGACGUGGGCGCAUCACAAUUCUGUUAUCUGUGCACAACGAGGAACGACAGAAGGGGGUCCCGCGCAAUUGUUAUCUAUACGAAAAAAAAAAAAAAAAAA